AAAAAGAGUAUAGUGAUAUCGUUUUCUUUCUUCAUAUCUUAAUUCACAAAGAAUUGUACAAAUUAUAGGAAGAAAUAUCGUAGAGAAGUUGUGUGUAUAUUCGAAAUACCCGCCUGAUACACCCAUCUUUACUGGUUCUCCAGGUACUAACAGGGUAUAAUUUGCAAUUAUUUUCCUAUUUCAACAAGGAAUAACUAAUAAUAAUUUAUCUUUACCUUAACUUUAAUGUAAUCCAUUCCUUAAUUAUCAUUUUUAUGUAAUCACAACAUUGCUUAGUUUUGACAUAAACAUUCUUAUAACUAUAAUAUUAUUUGCAACAAUCGUUAAUGAUAAAAAUUGCUGGAGCGAUCUAUAAAAUCGAAGAAAAUUACAUUGAAGAGAAAAAUAAGAAAACAUUAUGUCAAGGAUAAUGACCGAUCGAGUUUUGUAUUAUACAAUUUGAUGUGACCCUAUUCGAUUUGAGGCAGGUAUUACAGUACAGUUCCGUCAUACCGAUCGAUCGUUAUCUCUACACAUAGGUAAUGGUCAUGUAUAUAAUAUGAAUACAUAGAUCAAGUUAUAUCCUCAUCAAUAAGAACAUUUAUUAUCAACAUUUUUUAUAUUUUCAUUUAUUAAUACAAGCAGAAAAUUUUGAUAAAUACAAUUGCGAUAAGGUAUAUGUCUUUGGGGUGGUUUCGAGUUUGCGCUGUUUAAGAUACAAGAACGAGAUACAAGGUCGAUCUUUCAUGAAGAAGGAGGUCAACAGGGCGCGACUUGCGUAACCCUGGCGUACGGCCAGUAUGUUACGAAGUACAACGCCAGAGUUCAAUGGAGUAACUUCAAGUAAAGUAUAUUUAUACACCUUGAAGACACGUACAUACGUAGUGGACCUUGUAGAGAAUAGACUAAUGCUAAAAAUGUCCUUUGUCUACAUCAUGUAAAAUUUCACUGCGCGUGCAAGUAUUCAUAGUGAGAAUUAAUCAUAUCAACUGAUAUCAGCCGAGCAUAAACCUAUGGAUACUGACAUUUCAGUUAUAACGGGAAAUUCCACAUUUACUGAGUUCAGUGAUAAUAUUCGAUAUACUGUUGUGAUUAUCUACACAAAAACACAUGUAAGCAGAAUGACUCGUGUGGCUCAUAUUAUGCAUUAUAAUCAGUAAUUUGACGACUGUGUAGAUAUAUAUAAAUAAAAAUUCAAAAUUUUCGUCAAUGCAUCCAUAUAUUAUCCAUCACAGAGUACUUCCUAACUUGCAGACGAUGUUACGUAACUAUUAUCAAAUUGACAUAUAAUACUAAAAAGAAAUU